rnacentral:rRNA from 1 species
CCUACGGGUGGCUGCAGUGGGGAAUUUUGGACAAUGGGGGCAACCCUGAUCCAGCCAUGCCGCGUGAGUGAAGAAGGCCUUCGGGUUGUAAAGCUCUUUCGGCCGGGAAGAAAUCGCUCAAGCUAAUACCUUGGGUGGAUGACGGUACCGGAAGAAGAAGCACCGGCUAACUACGUGCCAGCAGCCGCGGUAAUACGUAGGGUGCGACCGUUAGUCGAGAUUACUCGGCGUAAACCGUGAGCCAGAGGCGAAAUCCCCGGGCUUAACCUGGGAACUGCGUUUGUGACUGUGGUGCUGGAGUGCGGCAGAGGGGGGUGGAAUUCCACGUGUAGCAGUGAAAUGCGUAGAGAUGUGGAGGAACACCGAUGGCGAAGGCAGCCCCCUGGGUCGACACUGACGCUCAUGCACGAAAGCGUGGGGAGCAAACAGGAUUAGAUACCCUUGUAGUC